rnacentral:rRNA from 1 species
GAUGAACGCUGGCGGCGUGCCUAAUACAUGCAAGUCGAGCGAACAGACGAGGAGCUUGCUCCUCUGACGUUAGCGGCGGACGGGUGAGUAACACGUGGAUAACCUACCUAUAAGACUGGGAUAACUUCGGGAAACCGGAGCUAAUACCGGAUAAUAUAUUGAACCGCAUGGUUCAAUAGUGAAAGACGGUUUUGCUGUCACUUAUAGAUGGAUCCGCGCCGCAUUAGCUAGUUGGUAAGGUAACGGCUUACCAAGGCGACGAUGCGUAGCCGACCUGAGAGGGUGAUCGGCCACACCGGAACUGAGACACGGUCCAGACUCCUACGGUAGGCAGCAGUAGGGAAUCUUCCGCAAUGGGCGAAAGGCUGACGGAGCAACGCCGCGUGAGUGAUGAAGGUCUUCGGAUCGUAAAACUCUGUUAUUAGGGAAGAACAAAUGUGUAAGUAACUAUGCACGUUUUGACGGUACCGAAUCAGAAAGCCACGGCUAACUACGUG